rnacentral:rRNA from 1 species
CCAAGGGUAUGGCUGUUCGCCAUUUAAAGUGGUACGCGAGCUGGGUUUAGAACGUCGUGAGACAGUUCGGUCCCUAUCUGCCGUGGGCGCUGGAGAACUGAGGGGGGCUGCUCCUAGUACGAGAGGACCGGAGUGGACGCAUCACUGGUGUUCGGGUUGUCAUGCCAAUGGCACUGCCCGGUAGCUAAAUGCGGAAGAGAUAAGUGCUGAAAGCAUCUAAGCACGAAACUUGCCCCGAGAUGAGUUCUCCCUGAGACUUUAGGUCUCCUGAAGGAACGUUGAAGACGACGACGUUGAUAGGCCGGGUGUGUAAGCGCAGCGAUGCGUUGAGCUAACCGGUACUAAUGAACCGUGAGGCUUAACCUUAC